rnacentral:tRNA from 1 species
GGUUCGAUGGCGUAGUUGGUUAUCGCAUCUGUCUAACAUUUGUUCACAGAAGGUCCUCAGUUCGAACCUGGGUCGAAUCA